rnacentral:rRNA from 1 species
GACGAACGCUGGCGGCGUGCUUAACACAUGCAAGUCGAACGGAAAGGCCCCUUCGGGGGUACUCGAGUGGCGAACGGGUGAGUAACACGUGAGUAACCUGCCCUUGACUUCGGGAUAACUUCAGGAAACUGGGGCUAAUACCGGAUAGGAAUCCUUGCUGCAUGGUGGGGGUUGGAAAGCUUCGGCGGUUUUGGAUGGACUCGCGGCUUAUCAGCUUGUUGGUGGGGUAGUGGCUUACCAAGGCCUUGACGGGUAGCCGGCCUGAGAGGGCGACCGGCCACAUUGGGACUGAGAUACGGCCCAGACUCCUACGGGAGGCAGCAGUGGGGAAUAUUGCACAAUGGGCGGAAGCCUGAUGCAGCAACGCCGCGUGCGGGAUGACGGCCUUCGGGUUGUAAACCGCUUUCAGCAGGGGCGAAGCUUGUGGUGACGGUACCUGCAGAAGAAGCACCGGCUAACUACGUG